rnacentral:rRNA from 1 species
GACGAACGCUGGCGGCGUGCCUAAUACAUGCAAGUAGAACGCUGAAGGAGGAGCUUGCUUACAUGGAUGAGUUGCGAACGGGUGAGUAACGCGUAGGUAACCUGCCUGGUAGCGGGGGAUAACUAUUGGAAACGAUAGCUAAUACCGCAUAAGAGUAGAUGUUGCAUGACAUUUGCUUAUAAGUUGCAAUUGCAUCACUACCAGAUGGCCCUGCGUUGUAUUAGUUAGUUGGUGGGGUAACGGCUCACCAAGGCGACGAUACAUAGCCGACCUGAGAGGGGGAUCGGCCACACUGGGACGGGGACACGGCCCAGACUCCUACGGGAGGCAGCAGUAGGGAAUCGUCGGCAAUGGACGGAAGUCUGACCGAGCAACGCCGCGGGAGUGAAGAAGGUUUUCGGAUCGUAAAGCUCAGUUGUAAGAGAAGAACGAGUGUGAGAGUGUAAAGUUCACACUGUGACGGUAUCUUACCAGAAAGGGACGGCUAACUACGUG